AUAGUGCUAAGCCUCUCAGGAGGCAUCCACGCCCAUGACAAUACCUGCCACUAGGCUCCACCUUAAACAUUGGGGAUUAUAUUUCAACAUGAAAUUUUGAGGAGACAAACAUCCCAACAAUAUUAGUUCCACUUGUUAAUAUUUGUCUCUAUUGGAAUUGCUUUUGGGGAUGCAGCCCCCCAAUUUUUUGCGUACAAGGAUGUGAAGAAGGGUAUUGCCUAGGUUUUCUUCUAGGAUUCUUAUUGUUUGAGGUCUUACAUUUAAAUCUUUAAUCCAUCCUGAGUUAAUUUCUGUAUAUGGUGAAAGGUAGGAGUCCAGUAUCAUUCUUCAGCUUGUGGCUAUCCAGGUAUUCCAGCAACAUUGAUUGAAUAGGGGGUCCUUUCUCCAUUUCUUGCUUUUCUCAGCUUUGUUAAAUAGCAGAUGGUUGCAGAUUUGUAGCUUUAUUUCUAGGUUCUCCAUUAUGUUCUAUUGGUCUAUGUGUCUGUUUUUGUACCAGUACCAAGCUGUAUUGGUUAGUGUAGCCUUAUAGCAUAGCUUGAAGUCAGGUAGUGUGAUACUUCUCUGGCUUUGUUCUCUUGGGUUAGGAUUCCUUCAGCUAUCUGGGUUCUCUUUUGGUUUAUAUGAAUUUUGGAAUAGAUUUUUCUAAUUCUGUGAAAAAUGUCAUGGUAGUUCGAUAGGAAUAGCAUGGAAUCUGUAAAUUAGUUUAGGCAGUAUAGCCAUUUUAACAACAUUGAUUUCUUUAAUCCAUGAGUAUGAAAUGCUUUUCCCUUUAUUUUUGUCAUCUCUGACUUCUUUGAGCAUUGAUUUGUAAUUCUCUGUGUAGAAAUCUUUCACCUAUUGGGCUAUCUGUAUUCCUAGGUAUUUAUUUUUUUAUUUAUGAUUAUUAUAAAUUGGAUUGUGUACUUGAUUUGGCUCUCAGAUUGAACAUUACUGGUAUAGAAAUAUUACUAAUUUUUGUACAUACAUUUUGUAUCCUGGAAAUUUACUGAAGUCAUCUACCAGUUCUAGAAGCCUUUUGGUAGAGUCUUUAGGGUUUUCUAGGUAUAGAAUCAUAUCGUCAGUGAAGAGAGAUAGGUUGACAUAUUCUUUUCAUUUUUGGAUGCCUUUUCUUUCUUCCUCUUGUCUGAUUGCUCUGGCUUGGAUUUCCAGGACUAUGUUGAUAGGAGUGGUUGGAAUUGAUAUCCUUACCUUGUUCUGAUUCUCAAGAGAAUGCUUCCAGCUUUCACUCAUUCAGUAUGAUACUGGCUAUGGGUUUGUCACAGACAGCUCUUAUCAUUUUGAGGUUAUGAUAGCUCUUAUUAUUUUGAGGUAUGCCCCUUUGAUGCCUAGUUUCUUGAGGGUUUUGUCAUAAAUGUAUAUUAAAUUGUAUUGAAAGAUUUUUCUGCAUCCAUUGAGAUGACCAUAUAUUUGUUUUCAAUUGUUUAUGUGGUGAAUCACAUUUAUUGAUUUGUGUAUGUUGAACCUGCCUUGCAUUUCAUGAAUAAAGCCCACUUGAUUGUGGUUUAUUAUCUUUUUGAUGUGGUGUUGGAUUAAGUUUGAUAGUAUUUUGUUGAGGAUUUUUGAUCCUGUGUUCACAAGGGAUAUUGGUCUGAAGUUUUAGUGUUCUGUUAUGUUGUAGCCAGAUUUUGGUAUCAGGCUGAUUUUGGCUUCAUAGAGUCAGGGGGGAGCCUCCCUCUUCAAUUUUCUGAAGUUUUUUCAGUAGGAGUAGUAUCUAGGUAUCUAGAUAGGUUGCUGGGUAAAAUGGUACAACUAUUUUUAGUUCUUUGAGAAAUAUCCAUACUGUUUUCCAUACAGACAAUACUAAUUUAGAUUCCCACCAACAGUGUAUAGGCAUUCCUUGUUCCUCAUAGCCUCACUAGCAUCUGCUAUUUUCUAACUUUUUAUAGAAUAGCCAUUGUGACUGGUGUAAUACUGUAUCACACUGUGGUUUUCAUUUGCAUUUCUGUGAUGAUGAGUGAUGUGGAGCAUUUUUUCAUAUGUUUGUUGGUCACUUGUAUGUCUUAUUUUGAGAAAUGUGUAUUUAUGGCGUUUGGCCACUUUUUAAUAGGUUUAUUUGAUUUUCUUUUCUGGAGUUGUUUGAAUUUAUCCUAGAUUCUGGAUAUUUGUACUUUCUCAGUUAUUACUGGUAAACUGUGAUAUUUUUCUUUUUUUCCUCUGAACAUCCUGAAGUUUAUUGAUUGUAUUAACCUUUUUGAAGAACUAACUUUACACUUAAUUUAUCUUUUUUGUUUUCUAUAUCUGUUCUCUUUAUUGUUUCAAUUAUUGCAUAUACUUUGAUUUCAAUUUAUUCUUCUUUUUCUUGUUUCUGAAGUUGAGAACUUGCAAUAUUGAUUUUUGACUGUUUUUUAUUGCUCACGUAACUAUUGAAAGUAUAGAUUUCUUUGUAAGUCCUGCUUCAGGUGCAUUGCACACAUUUUGAUGUGUUUUGUAUUUGGCAUUAUUCUGUUCAAG
rnacentral:lncRNA from 10 species